ensembl:lncRNA
GUGAGCGUGACAGAGGCGAAAGGCGAGAACGCACCAGUCGGGACCGCGACAGGGAACGUCGUCGCUCCCGCUCUCGAGAGCGCCGCAGGCGCACUCGGUCCAGAGAGAGAGAGAGGGCCACUGGAGAGGACGCGGGCAGCAGACGCAGAGACAGGGACAGAGAGGCCCGGGGUGAGAGGAGUCGGGAGAGAAGUCGAGACAGGGAGCGCAAACGCAGGAGCCGCAGCAAAGACCGGAAGAGGGACCGCGACCGCACUAAAGGCCCAGAUGGAGAGGACGUCCUGCCUGGAGAGGGGGCCCCUGAGGGAGUGGAGAGGGGGCCAGAUGAACAGCCAGAAGCAGAGCCCGGGGCCGAAGGUGAUGAACAGCGACGAGACAGAGAGCGGGACAAGGAGCGCAGACGCAGCCAUAGAGACAGGGACCGCAGACGAGACCGAGACAGAGAGCACAAACGAGACAGGGACAGAGACAGAGACAGGGAGCGCAGGGACGACAGGCACAUGGAGCCCCAGGACCAGGCCCCAGAGGAGGACAACGGCCCCUCACUGAAGACGGAUGAGUACUCCCAGGAUGAGGGCACAGAGCUCCCCACAGAGGGGCCUGAAGACUAUGGCAACGGGGAGAACGGAUACAAGAUGGAGGGAGGCGGGGACGAGUACUGAGCUCUGUGGACUCAUUGGACUGUAGUGAAGUGUUCCCUCCAAAUCAAACCAUGAGCUCAUGAGUCACUCAAAUUGCUCUCAUAAUGCCUUUCAAAAAUGACCCUCAAACAGUUGCAAGGGGCCCAAAAGGGGUGCAGUUUUUAAUUUAGAUUUUUCCAGAAGUGUGGUUUAAGUCUUAGUUGAAUGAAUUGGUCUUUUGCUCUGCAUGUCAGACCCAUGUUCUGUUGGGGCUUCUUUUCACAGCUUUGUUUUUCAGAGAACAGCAAAGUGCACUCGGCUCACUCUGUCCAUGUGAGAGCAAACCAGUCACGCUAAUGUACCGUCUGAAACUGUAAAUGAUCCGCUGUAUUUGACUCUGAGGGUCUCGUGUUCAUUCUCAAUUAAACUUUUUAAUUAUAC